UGCGGCAGAUGAUGCGAAUUGUAAAUCUUAUCCUACACACUGAAGCAUGGUGUUGACCAAAAUCUCCGCUUAUUAUCUGAUGCCCCC